rnacentral:rRNA from 1 species
AGUGCUGCAGCUAACGCAUUAAGCACUCCGCCUGGGGAGUACGACCGCAAGGUUGAAACUCAAAGGAAUUGACGGGGGCCCGCACAAGCGGUGGAGCAUGUGGUUUAAUUCGAAGCAACGCGAAGAACCUUACCAGGUCUUGACAUCCUUUGACCACUCUAGAGAUAGAGCUUCCCCUUCGGGGGCAAAGUGACAGGUGGUGCAUGGUUGUCGUCAGCUCGUGUCGUGAGAUGUUGGGUUAAGUCCCGCAACGAGCGCAACCCUUAUUGUUAGUUGCCAUCAUUCAGUUGGGCACUCUAGCAAGACUGCCGGUGACAAACCGGAGGAAGGUGGGGAUGACGUCAAAUCAUCAUGCCCCUUAUGACCUGGGCUACACACGUGCUACAAUGGGAAGUACAACGAGUUGCGAAGUCGCGAGGCUAAGCUAAUCUCUUAAAGCUUCUCUCAGUUCGGAUUGCAGGCUGCAACUCGCCUGCAUGAAGCCGGAAUCGCUAGUAAUCGCGGAUCAGCACGCCGCGGUGAAUACGUUCCCGGGCCUUGUACACACCGCCCGUCACACCACGAGAGUUUGUAACACCCGAAGUCGGUGAGGUAACCUUUUGGAGCCAGCCGCCUAAGGUGGGAUAGAUGAUUGGGGUGAAGUCGUAACAAGGUAGCCGUAUCGGAAGGUGCGGCUG